rnacentral:rRNA from 1 species
UGACGGUACCGGAAGAAUAAGCACCGGCUAACUACGUGCCAGCAGCCGCGGUAAUACGUAGGGUGCGAGCGUUAAUCGGAAUUACUGGGCGUAAAGCGUGCGCAGGCGGUUUGGUAAGCCAGAUGUGAAAUCCCCGGGCUUAACCUGGGAAUGGCAUUUGGGACUGCCAAGCUAGAGUGCGGCAGAGGGGGGUAGAAUUCCACGUGUAGCAGUGAAAUGCGUAGAGAUCAGGAGGAAUACCGAUGGCGAAGGCAGGUCUCUGGGCUGACACUGACGCUCAUGCACGAAAGCGUGGGGAGCAAACAGGAUUAGAUACCCUGGUAGUCCACGCCCUAAACGAUGUCAACUGGUUGUUGGACGGCUUGCUGUUCAGUAACGUAGCUAACGCGUGAAGUUGACCCGCCC